GGUCUAACUUCAGUCAUGUGAUUCAGCCGAUGACCAAGAAGCUUGCUUCGACAACAAACAUUAUCGUGUUGUACUGUAUGUCGGAUGCCCUCUUCUCGAAUCGUCGGUUUUCAUUCCUCUUAGCUAACAUGCAUGUGAAGUUUUGAGGUAAAAUAACGGCCAAACAUAACGCUGUUUAUAAACACAAUGGCGGAAGUGGAGGAGCAGGAAAGGAAGCAGAGUGGGGAAUUCACAGAUGAAUCUGAGGAGGAGGACAGCGAGGAGGAGCCCAAGCUGAAGUACGAGAGGCUCUCCAACGGGGUGACUGAAAUCCUCCAGAACGACGCAGCCAGCUGUAUGACCGUCCACGACAAG